GGUGGUGGAUGAGUGGCGAACGGGUGAGUAACACGUGGGUAAUCUGCCUUGUACUCUGGGAUAAGCCUGGGAAACUGGGUCUAAUACCGGAUAUGACCUGUCAUCGCAUGGUGGUGGGUGGAAAGUUUCGGCGGUAUGGGAUGAACCCGCGGCCUAUCAGCUUGUUGGUGGGGUGAUGGCCUACCAAGGCGACGACGGGUAGCCGGCCUGAGAGGGUGACCGGCCACACUGGGACUGAGACACGGCCCAGACUCCUACGGGAGGCAGCAGUGGGGAAUAUUGCACAAUGGGCGGAAGCCUGAUGCAGCGACGCCGCGUGAGGGAUGACGGCCUUCGGGUUGUAAACCUCUUUCGCCAGGGACGAAGCGAGAGUGACGGUACCUGGAUAAGAAGCACCGGCUAACUACGUGCCAGCAGCCGCGGUAAUACGUAGGGUGCGAGCGUUGUCCGGAAUUAUUGGGCGUAAAGAGCUCGUAGGCGGUUUGUCGCGUCGGCCGUGAAAUCUGGAGGCUUAACCUUCAGCGUGCGGUCGAUACGGGCAGACUUGAGUUCGGUAGGGGAGACUGGAAUUCCUGGUGUAGCGGUGAAAUGCGCAGAUAUCAGGAGGAACACCGGUGGCGAAGGCGGGUCUCUGGGCCGAUACUGACGCUGAGGAGCGAAAGCGUGGGGAGCGAACAGGAUUAGAUACCCUGGUAGUCCACGCUGUAAACGUUGGGCGCUAGGUGUGGGCGACAU
rnacentral:rRNA from 1 species